GAUGAACGCUGGCGGCGUGCCUAAUACAUGCAAGUCGAGCGAACAGACGAGGAGCUUGCUCCUCUGACGUUAGCGGCGGAUGGGUGAGUAACACGUGGAUAACCUACCUAUAAGACUGGGAUAACUUCGGGAAACCGGAGCUAAUACCGGAUAAUAUAUUGAACCGCAUGGUUCAAUAGUGAAAGACGGUUUUGCUGUCACUUAUAGAUGGAUCCGCGCCGCAUUAGCUAGUUGGUAAGGUAACGGCUUACCAAGGCAACGAUGCGUAGCCGACCUGAGAGGGUGAUCGGCCACACUGGAACUGAGACACGGUCCAGACUCCUACGGGAGGCAGCAGUAGGGAAUCUUCCGCAAUGGGCGAAAGCCUGACGGAGCAACGCCGCGUGAGUGAUGAAGGUCUUCGGAUCGUAAAACUCUGUUAUUAGGGAAGAACAAAUGUGUAGGUAACUAUGCACGUCUUGACGGUACCUAAUCAGAAAGCCACGGCUAACUACGUG
rnacentral:rRNA from 1 species